rnacentral:sRNA from 1 species
AGCCGUCGAAGGUGGACUGUGAGGUCUG